rnacentral:rRNA from 1 species
UACGAAGGGGGCUAGCGUUGCUCGGAAUCACUGGGCGUAAAGCGCACGUAGGCGGACUCUUAAGUCGGUGGUGAAAUCCUGGAGCUCAACUCCAGAACUGCCUUCGAUACUGAGAGUCUCGAGUCCGAGAGAGGUGAGUGGAACUGCGAGUGUAGAGGUGAAAUUCGUAGAUAUCGGGAGGAACACCAGUGGCGAAGGCGACUACCUGGCCUGUUCUUGACGCUGAGGCGCGAAAGCUAGGGGAGCAAACGGG